rnacentral:lncRNA from 1 species
AAAAAUGCUACAAGAUAGCAUCCAAAAAGCUUUUCUAGACAUUGGCUUAGGCCAAGUAGUCAUGACUAAUGCCCCAAAAGCAAACGCAAAAAUAUAAAAAUAGAAUAAGAUCAAUAGGACCUAAUGAAACCGAAAAUCUUCUGCAAGGCAGAAGAAAUAUCAGCAGGGUAAACACACAACCCACAGUAUAGGAAACAGUAGUCACAAACUAGGCAUCUGACAAAGGACUAAUGUCCAGACUCCAAAGGAACUGAAAGAAAUCAGCAAGAAGAAAAGGUGCCAUUUACCACCUUCCUGACUCAUUGGCCAGAACCAAUGUUAGUGGAAUUAACAUAUGCCCCACCCCAAGUGACUUCUAAAGGGCUAACUCACCACAAGGGAGUCAGAGCAGAUCUUGGACUGAGACCUACAGGACACAGCGACUCUUAAAUAGGUGGCUCACCAGGAGAAAGGCAUAGCAGAACCUGGACUGAGACCUACGGGAGACAGCAGGCAGACACACAGGAGGUUGGACGUCGAGAGGAGCACAUCAGUGCAAGAACACAUGGGUGGCUGCCACUUCUCUCCCUUUCCUGAGAGGGAAAAACUCUCGACGCUGAGAGGAAUCCACCAACAGGCACCAGCACUCUGGCAGGCCACCGACCAAUGGAUUGACAUAGAGUUUGGCUGGGGCAGCCAGAGGAGAGCCUGGGCCGCUGAAUAACCCGACUUCAGGGGAAAACUAUUCUCCCUUUUGGCUCCCCCAUCUGCUGAGAGCUACUUCCACUCAAUAAAACCUUGCACUCAUUCUCCAAGACCACGUGUGAUUUGAUUUUUCUGGUACACCUAGGUAACAACCGCGGGAUACAGAAAGCCCUCUGUCUUUGGGUUAAGGAAUGGGUCUAAUUGAGC